GCUGAGGCGGAGAGACACUGCAGCCGCUGCCAUGACCAACAGCAUGUGAAGACUCUGGCACCGUUGAUCUCCAGCAAGAUGACAGAAGGGACUGUCUAUGAACAAGGGCUAUGAGGCAACAUUUCAAAGAAUGCACAAAUGCUAUAAAGUACGACACACGGA